UACGUAGGGUGCAAGCGUUAUCCGGAAUUAUUGGGCGUAAAGAGCUCGUAGGCGGUUUGUCGCGUCUGCUGUGAAAACCGGAGGCUCAACCUCCGGCCUGCAGUGGGUACGGGCAAACUAGAGUGCGGUAGGGGAGAUUGGAAUUCCUGGUGUAGCGGUGGAAUGCGCAGAUAUCAGGAGGAACACCGAUGGCGAAGGCAGAUCUCUGGGCCGUAACUGACGCUGAGGAGCGAAAGCGUGGGGAGCGAGCAGG
rnacentral:rRNA from 1 species